rnacentral:rRNA from 1 species
UACGUAGGGGGCAAGCGUUGUCCGGAUUUAUUGGGCGUAAAGAGCGUGUAGGCGGCCAGACAGGUCCGUUGUGAAAACUCGAGGCUCAACCUCGAGACGCCGAUGGAAACCGUCUGGCUAGAGUCCGGAAGAGGAGAGUGGAAUUCCUGGUGUAGCGGUGAAAUGCGCAGAUAUCAGGAAGAACACCCGUGGCGAAGGCGGCUCUCUGGAACGCAACUGACGCUGAGACGCGAAUGCGUGGGGAGCAAACAGG